rnacentral:rRNA from 1 species
AUUGAACGCUGGCGGCAGGCCUAACACAUGCAAGUCGAGCGAGCGGCGGACGGGUGAGUAAUGUAUGGGGACUGCCCGAUAGAGGGGGAUAACUACUGGAAACGGUAGCUAAUACCGCAUACUCUCGGAUAACCCAUAUUGGAUUAGCUAGUAGGUGAGGUAAUGGCUCACCUAGGCGACGAUCCCUAGCUGGUCUGAGAGGAUGAUCAGCCACACUGGAACUGAGAAACGGCCCAGACUCCUUCGGAGGCAACAGUAGGGAAUAUUGGACAAUAGGGGCAAGCCUGAUGCAGCCAUGCCGCGUGUAUGAAGAAGGCCCUAGGGUUGUAAAGUACUUUUGGCAGAGAAGCGGUAUCUGCAGAAGAAGCACCGGCUAACUACGUGCCAGCAGCCGCGGUAAUUC